GACGAACGCUGGCGGCGUGCCUAAUACAUUCAAGUAGAACGCACAGUUUAUACCGUAGCUUGCUACACCAUAGACUGUGAGUUGCGAACGGGUGAGUAACGCGUAGGUAACCUGCCUGGUAGCGGGGGAUAACUAUUGGAAACGAUAGCUAAUACCGCAUAAUAUUAAUUAUUGCAUGAUAAUUAAUUGAAAGGUGCAAUUGCACCACUACCAGAUGGACCUGCGUUGUAUUAGCUAGUAGGUGAGGUAACGGCUCACCUAGGCAACGAUACAUAGCCGACCUGAGAGGGUGAUCGGCCACACUGGGACUGAGACACGGCCCAGACUCCUACGGGAGGCAGCAGUAGGGAAUCUUCGGCAAUGGACGAAAGUCUGACCGAGCAACGCCGCGUGAGUGAAGAAGGUUUUCGGGAUCGUAAAAGCUCUGUGUAAAGAGAAAGAAACGGGUGUG
rnacentral:rRNA from 1 species